AUGGGUAGAUGAGGCAUUCGCUCUGCUUUUUUUUGUGGAGAGGAAAGUCCGGACUCCGUCGAGCAAGAUGCCACCUAACGGGUGGGGGGAGUGAUCCUACGGAAAGUGCCACAGAAACUAUACCGCCCAAUUUUUUCGGGUAAGGGUGAAAAAGUGAGGUAAGAGCUCACUAAGAGGCUAGUAAUAGUCCUCUUGGGUAAACCCCAUCUGGAGCAAGAUCAAAUAGGGGAACAGAUGUCGCUCGCAUCGCUACGAUUCCCGGGUUGAUCGCAUGAGCCUAACGGUGACGUUACGCCCAGAUAGAUGAAUGCCCAAACAGAAUCCGGCUUACCAUCUACCCUUUUCU
rnacentral:RNase_P_RNA from 1 species